UACAGAGGGUGCAAGCGUUGUUCGGAAUUAUUGGGCGUAAAGCGCGUGUAGGCGGCUUGGCAAGUCGGGUGUGAAAGCCCUCAGCUCAACUGAGGAAGUGCGCCCGAAACUGCUUUGCUUGAGUGCUGGAGAGGGUCGCGGAAUUCCCCAAGUAGAGGUGAAAUUCGUAGAUAUGGGGAGGAACACCGGUGACGAAGGCGGCGACCUGGACAGUAACUGACGCUGAGACGCGAAAGCGUGGGGAGCAAACAGG
rnacentral:rRNA from 1 species